GUGAGGUAACCUUACGGAGCCAGCCGUCGAAGGUGGGGGCGAUGAUUGGGGUGAAGUCGUAACAAGGUAGCCGUAUCGGAAGGUGCGGCUGGAUCACCUCCUUUCUAGGGAA
rnacentral:rRNA from 1 species